rnacentral:rRNA from 1 species
AGCGAACGCUGGCGGCAGGCUUAACACAUGCAAGUCGAGCGGGCACUUUCGGGUUUCCGCGGCGGACGGGUGCGUACCGCGUGGUAACGUGCCCUCUGGUUCGGAAUAACUCAGGGAAACUUGAGCUAAUACCGGAUACUCCCUCUUGGGGAAAGGCUUGCUUCCGGAGGAUCGGCCCGCAUCUGAUUAGCUAGUUGAUGAGGUGACGGCUCACCAAGGCGGCGAUCAGUAGAUGUUCUGAGAGGAUGAUCCGCGACACCGGUGCGGGGAAGCUGCCCAGAAUACUACGGGAGGCAGGAGUGGGGAAUAUUGGAAAGCGGCGGGAAGGCUGAUGCAGCCAGGAUGGGAGAGUGAUGAAGGUUUGAAGGUCGUAAAGCUCUUUUAUCCGGGACGAUAAUGACGGUACCGGAGGAAUAAGCCCCGGCUAACUUCGUG